AGGAUGAACGCUGGCGGCGUGCUUAAUACAUGCAAGUCGAGCGGCAGCACGGUCUUCGGACUGGUGGCGAGCGGCGGACGGCUGAGUAACGCGUAGGAACGUACCCCAAAGUGAGGCAUAAGCACCAGAAAUGGUGUCUAAUACCGCAUGUGCUCUAAGGAGUAAAGCUUCGGCGCUUUGGGAACGGCCUGCGUUUGAUUAGCUUGUUGGUGAGGUAAUGGCUCACCAAGGCGACGAUCAAUAGCUGGUCUGAGAGGAUGAUCAGCCAGACUGGGACUGAGACACGGCCCAGACUCCUACGGGAGGCAGCAGUAGGGAAUUUUCCACAAUGGGCGAAAGCCUGAUGGAGCAACGCCGCGUGCAGGAUGAAUGCCUUAGGGUUGUAAACUGCUUUUAUAUGUGACGAUAAUGACGGUAGCAUAUGAAUAAGGAUCGGCUAACUUCGUGCCAGCAGCCGCGGUAA
rnacentral:rRNA from 1 species